CUUAUAUUGGGUGUGUUGGUGUUUUUAGGAUGGUUUUAAACCUGUACAUUGCCAAAGUGGUUCUCAGCAGGGUGAUCUCGGAAGGAAACCUGCUCACUGGGAGAGCGAGGGGGCGCAGGCUGGUGUAUUUUUGGAUGUACAUCUUUCCUGGGGGGGUGUAGUCAGGGGAGAUACAGAUGUAACAGUAUUGAUGUACUUGAUGCAGUACUGUUAGCUGGAUUGUGGAGACAAAGAGGUGAGACUGGCUUUAGGAUUGUUAUUUUGAGCCUUUAAUGUGGGGAGAGAGUGCCAUGGCACAGCAGCAGCAUCUUACACCUUUGGGUGUGUGACUGUCACAAUCAACUUCAUGCAUCUCCCUGUUCUGAGGGAGAGAGCUGGUGCAUGCGAGUCUGCUUUGGUUUCUGCAAGAACGUGAUGUUGCUCAUCCUGGAGAUUCAGGCAACUGAAACGAGAGAGAGAAUUAAAGCGUGAGAUCUGCUUGCUCAUGACCUGAAUCCCCUAAUCACAGCCUCAUGUAAGUGAAGGUCUUAGGCUGGGUUGAGUGGAGGGCAUCUCCACACAAGAAAAUGUACAUCUGCCCUCCACCUCCCAGAAUUAGAGCUUACUCGUGAUGAAAUGCAGUUGUAAGGGCCUUAAACCUUGCCUUAAACCAGACUCGCUGUGUGUGACAUUGCUUCCCUUGUGGCAGGCACGUAGUAGGCACCUCGGUGAAGAUAAGUGUGUGCUACCUGAGCUCCCUGUCCCCAGGAUACCUCCCCUGGGUGCCAGAAGCACAUCCUGGGUUAAGUGUCUGGGUCUCUUGCUUGGUGCAGAUGAAAGGUGCUGUACUGCUGAGACAUGCUGUGUUGCUGAGCGUUAUGUGCCGGAGGCUGCUUCAGAAAACAUUUCUGUGCUCCUUUUGACCUCUGUUGCGUCUUCCUGCCCAUCUUCAGUUGUGCUGGUGGCUGAGAACGCUGGAGACUCUCUCUUUGCUGAGAGAGGAGGAGAGAGGAGAAUGAUGGCACUUCAGAAGCAAUAAACCUUGUGCUUUGGUAGAGCAGCAUAUUGUGUCCAAAACUGUGGUUCAUGAUCACUAGCCGCUGCUUAACUUACACAUUGAGCAUGUUGCUCUCAGAAGUGCUUUGACACUGAGGAUCCCCAUCAUUAGGGAUGGGUGACCUGAGGCACAGAGGGGUGAGGUGACACUGCAAACAGUAGAAGGAGCAUGCCACCGCCAGAGCUGGGAAUGCAAUUUAUCUGUACUUCUUGGGAGAUCUUCAGGGACUGGUCUGGUUCUGUUUUUUCACGAUGAUUCCUUUCAGUGAAAAAAUGGUUUAUUUGUUUAGAUGAAAACUUCUGUGGUAAAAAUCUGAAAGGAAAAGGGUGAUUGGCUUCUCCCUGAAGCGUGAGUUCUGGUUUCUAAAUGAAAAACUUUCUUAACAAGAUAAAAAUAGAGAAUUACUCUAUGGGGAAAGGGCUCACUUCCCUGGUGGCUCUGCUAGGUGGCCUUCAACUAUGAGGAAGUGGGGAAAUUACCCUCAGCUCCCCAGGACCACAACCAGCCCCAGUGGUUUUCCAGUGAAGUGACUAGAGUUACACCAGGGCUGCAUUAUGCCCCUCUAAAUUUAAGGGAUAUAUGAAUCCAUAUGAAAAUAUAAAUCUUGCCAGGCAUGUCUUCCCUCCCUGUAGGACAUGCAAUCUGUAUGACACUGCAUCAGAAGCACACACCGUGUUGCAUGGCGAGGUUUUUCAUUUGGGUGCUCAUUCUAGCUAAGCAGCACUGAUAGCUAUGAUGACCGCUCACAUCAAUCCGUUAAUAACUUUUACACUCAGGGAAAUAACAGCAUAAGCACUAGUGUCCUCACAUAGAGUUCUGGGCCUCUCUGUCAGGAGACUGGCAAUUAUUUGAUGAUUUUGUGGAAAAUAAAUGAUCUCGGCUCUCAUUGUAGUCCCUAAAUUCAUUUUCAGCUGUGACAAGAGCCAGGAUUUAAACCUGGGUCCCCAAAAGUAAAAUGCAGUUAAUUAGCCCACUCCAUCAUGUAGCCGUUCUCAGUUAACAAAGGCAGUAGGUUCAGCCAGACAGUUCUUGCUCACAAGUGAUGCUAACCUUUUGAGCUGCAUGUAUGGCAGAGUGUGCUUGCUCAGAGCCUGAAGUCCUUGUUUGCAUCCCUUUUCAGCAGUGCUGCUUAACCCCUCUGCACAGCCCCAUUGUAAUGCUGCUGGUCUCCACUUGAGAGGCUUCUGGCACCAGUAUGUGUUUUAAGCUUGAAUGAUGGUUUGUGUUUAGGCAAUGGCUGUGGGGUCCUACCAAGGUCAGAGUCUGCUGCAGAAUAAAGAGGGAGAGGGUUUCUACCCUGAGGAGCUUGUAGCCCUCAGGGCAAAUACACAGGGUGAUGUGACAUUAGUGUUACUAACUGCAACUUGUGAAUGGGGUUCAAGCAACAUUAGAGGGGCAAAGUGAGAUGGCUGAAACUGCUUGAUUUCUAGGCUGGAAGUAGGAUGUGUGAGCCCUCACCUGGACCCCUUGGCUUGUUGUUCCCACCAGACCAGAUCUCCUCGCUGGCUGGCAGCUUGUUUGCAUCAGACACCGAUAAGCAAGAGCUCCACCAAAUGCUGCUGUGGUAUAUCAGGUGUGGUGAGGUGUAGCUUGAAAUAAACCAUCAAGGAAGAACUGUUGUCACUGGGGGACUCUGCUGCACUGCUCCUGGCAGAUUCAGGGUGUUAGACUUUGCUUGCCAUCCCCCCACUGAUUUAGGUUUAGAGGCUGGGGCAGGGCAGCAUGCUUCCUGAGCAGGGCAGGCCGUUGUGAAGUUUUCCUACCUGGCCGCUGCCCUCAGGUAGGGCACUUAACUGUUCUUCUGCAAAGGGACUGCUUGGAUUAAAGUUUCUUGACAUUUGAGUCCUUUGCAGUAUCAUGAUGUACAGUUUAAAAAUACUAUUUUUCCUCCUUGUGCAAAUGUCUAAAUUUGACUGUUGCCCCUGCAAUGUUCACAGGAUUAGUAAACUGGGGAGGGACAGUCCUUAGUCUAGGUAUAACCAUUGGCUGUAGUCUGUAAGAAUGUGUCUGCAGUUUAAAAAGCUUAGGGCCUUAUUUUCAGACCCUAGCUUCUGUUUAGAUCCAGGCUGUUCAGUACUUGGCUGCUUCCUGAAAUCUACAUUUGCUGGUAUUGUAAUCCAGACCUUGUGUGUGCAGGCAGUGCCAUUUGGUUGAAUGCAAUCCUUGCACAAAAAAAAUCAUCUGUGUGUAGAUACUAGAAUGUGAACAGGGAUGGCUGUAUGAGUGGAUAGUGGGUCAAGACCCCCUGAAAAUAGAAACAUAUUGAUGUUGUUAGCGAAAGCUGUGGAGCAUGUUUUCCUUGAAAAUUGUUAUUCAAUAUUGUCCUUGGUGUCUUUUGAAUUAAACAUACCGUGACAAUCAGUUUGCUGGAAUUUUGACUGUUCUGGAGGAUUGGAUAUUGGGUAGUCCUUAUAAACAGAUGGAGAAGGUAGCAUGACCUACUGAACAGACAGCAAGAUGCAUAGACACUAGCAGCAGGGAA
rnacentral:lncRNA from 1 species